rnacentral:rRNA from 1 species
ACUGCUCAGUAACACGUAGUCAACCUAACCUAUGGACGGGAAUAACCUCGGGAAACUGAGAAUAAUGCCCGAUAGAACAUUAUGCCUGGAAUGGUUUAUGUUCCAAAUGAUUUAUCGCCGUAGGAUGGGACUGCGGCCUAUCAGUUUGUUGGUGAGGUAAUGGCCCACCAAGACUAUUACAGGUACGGGCUCUGAGAGGAGUAGCCCGGAGAUGGGUACUGAGACACGGACCCAGGCCCUAUGGGGCGCAGCAGGCGAGAAAACUUUGCAAUGUGCGAAAGCACGACAAGGUUAAUCCGAGUGGUUUCUGCUAAAGGAACCUUUUGUCGGUCCUAGAAACACCGAUGAAUAAGGGGUGGGCAAGUUCUGGUGUCAGCCGCCGCGGUAAAACCAGCACCUCAAGUGGUCAGGAUGAUUAUUGGGCCUAAAGCAUCCGUAGCCUGCUUUGUUAGUUUUCGGUUAAAUCUGUACGCUCAACGUACAGGCUGCCGGGAAUACUGCAAAGCUAGGGAGUGGGAGAGGUAGACGGUACUCGGUAGGAAGGGGUAAAAUCCUUUGAUCUAUUGAUGACCACCUGUGGCGAAGGCGGUCUACCAGAACACGUCCGACGGUGAGGGAUGAAAGCUGGGGGAGCAAACCGGAUUAGAUACCCGGGUAGUCCCAGCCGUAAACCAUGCAAACUCAGUGAUGCAUUGGCUUGUGGCCAAUGCAGUGCUGCAGGGAAGCCGUUAAGUUUGCCGCCUGGGAAGUACGUACGCGAGUAUGAAACUUAAAGGAAUUGGCGGGGGAGCAC